AAGUGGCUGCGGGUGCUGGGGCCGCUGCGCCGGCGGCGGUUCCCCAAGUGGAGGUCCGUCCUGGGUGGGGAGGCACGGAAGGUCGCUGGUUCGAUGCGGAGGAAGAAACCACACCUAGCACUUAAAGCCCUGACAAAAUAGAGGUUUUGAUAAGGUGAAAAGGAAAGUCACCAGGCUUACUCAGACCUGCCAGCUCUCGGAGUCCUUGGUGGUUGAAAUUGGAGAAAGACCACAAGAAGACACUUAUGUACAGUAGAGUUUUCCAGAGGCUACAUGACAUGCAGUAUCACAACGGAAGCAAAUAUAAGAAUCCACCUGUCUCCUAUUAAAAUGCAAAAUGUAAAACAGUACCACUUUCCUAACUGUUUUUGUUUGUGGAAAUAUA